AGGUCAUGGCCGCUGGCUGCACCCACUAACAAAGAGGAAGCCCAGGGCCUCUCCAGAUCCUGGGGACAGCACGAACCCCCUCUGGGUGUCCUUCUGGAAGCCGCCUUAGAACAGGACUCCUCUCAACAAGCACUGGAAGCUGCUCAACAAGCUGAGGCCAGGGGCUGGCCUUGUGACCACAGUGCUUGCAAGGUUUGUGGAAUGAGGUGGCCUCAAUGCCCACACACCCACACUCGCUGCUGACUGCAGCCUGUGGCAGCCAGAGACCACACGGGGUGCCAGUCUCUUGGACUCUUGACCUGCAAGCUGCCUGAAGCCACUGCCCAAUACAAAUACUUUGGACUGAAGCUUCUCACUGCUGUUGGAUUCUGGUGAAAAUGAAAUCUCUCACCAUCACCAUCAAAGGACCUUAUGUGACCCUGACUUGGAUUUCUGCUCCUGACUUGGAUUUCUACCAAUUUAUCAUCCCAAAACAAUCCAAGCCAGGACCUGAGCAGACCCAUGGUGAUGCCUAGAUUGACAACACCCUCAUCAGAGUCAUCACUGCUAUGGCCAAGGAAGAUGCCUUGAAACAAAGCUGUAUCUGCCACCCAAGACUGAGGGUUCUAUUGCCUCAGACUCCCACCUUGGUGGCCUGGCUGAAACUUAAGGACAUGGGCCAUCAAUGGAUCUGUCCACUGAGUGACUCUACUGAUCCGAGUUCAGAUGCAGGAUCACUCCACUGUCCUCUGUUAAUGGCACCUGUAACACAAUUGGAAAGGACUCUGCAGGGAGCCAGGUGUUGCUGACUCACACAGGUACUGAAACAAGAUGACAAAAGAAGCUUUAUGGCUCCUUCCAGAUGGACCACAGAGUCUCGCACUGCAAGUUGAAAGGGGUUCAGUGUGAAGCUGAGUCCCAAACCACCACGCAUAUUCUGAUCACCAGCACUCCCUGUUUCAUCAUUCUGCUGUACCAGACCUAAACGUUGUCAAAUCCUCAGACCUUGUCAAAGCUGUGAGCAACUUGGUGGGAUGCAGUGCAGACGCAGUGCAAACACAGCCCAGAAGCACAGUGAGAGGCCACUUGUGUCUUCCUGCAGAGGAAGGAAGUGAGAACGAAUUGGACACUAAAUGUUUAUUUAAUUUAGAGAACACCUCUAAAUCACAUCUUCAAGGAGACGUGAAAUACACUGUUAGGUGAGAAACAAAGCCCAUUUAUAUGUAUCAUGUUGUGUAACUAUCUCCAUCUCACACUUGGCCAUUGUUGCUUGCAACUGUCUGGAAAUUAAAUAUACCUUCCUGGGAGUGCCAGGUAAAUGCUGCACAGACAGAAGAGAAGGGUUCCCACGAGGAUCUUAUCUCAUGUACAUUUCAAUCAUAAAGUGUUCCAAGUUUGCCAAUGGGUCUUAGGAAGCUCAGGUAAUCCCAGAUACACACAGACACAAAUAAAAAUUAUUCUGAGUCAUUAAAUGUGAACUCUUUCCCCCACCAGAUCUUUCAG